rnacentral:rRNA from 1 species
UACGUAGGGCGCGAGCGUUGUCCGGAAUUAUUGGGCGUAAAGAGCUCGUAGGCGGCCUGUUGCGUCCGCUGUGAAAUCCCAGGGCUCAACCCUGGGCGUGCAGUGGAUACGGGCAGGCUGGAGGCAGGCAGGGGAGAACGGAAUUCCCGGUGUAGCGGUGAAAUGCGUAGAUAUCGUGUGGAACGCCAAUGGUGAAAACAGGUUGCUGGGGCUGUGCUGACGCUGAGACACGAAAGCCAGGGGAGCGAACGGG